GACGAACGCUGGCGGCGUGCCUAAUACAUGCAAGUAGAACGCACAGUUUAUACCGUAGCUUGCUACACCAUAGACUGUGAGUUGCGAACGGGUGAGUAACGCGUAGGUAACCUGCCUGGUAGCGGGGGGUAACUAUUGGAAACGAUAGCUAAUACCGCAUAAUAUUGAUUAUUGCAUGAUAAUUGAUUGAAAGAUGCUAUUGCAUCACUACCAGGUGGACCUGCGUUGUAUUAGCUAGUAGGUGAGGUAACGGCUCACCUAGGCGACGAUACAUAGCCGACCUGAGAAGGCGAUCGGCCACAAUGGGACUGAGACACGGCCCAGACUCCUACGGGAGGCAGCAGUAGGGAAGCUUCGGCAAUGGACGAAAGUCUGACCGAGCAACGCCGCAUGGGUGAAGAAGGUUUUCGGAUCGUAAAGCUCUGUUGUAAGAGAAGAACGGGUGUGAGAGUGGAAAGUUCACACUGUGACGGUAUCUUACCAGAAAGGGACGGCUAACUACGUG
rnacentral:rRNA from 1 species